ACCAGAAUCUCCAGGUCAACACCUUAUGGUAUUGUCCUUUGAAACCUACAAAUUCAACUGUCAAUAGUAACAGACGAAAGUCUACUAGUAAAUUCUAGGACUUUGGAUUUUUCAAGCCAUAUUAUAUAUUUAUUUGAGUAAGUCCUUAAGUAAUUUACAGUUAGAGAAACAGAAAAAAAAAAGUUAAUAUAAUUGAUGCAAUUGUUGCUGAACUGUUUAGUAUAAUUUCUGACUAUGUGGAAUGCUUAAAAAAAUCCAAAGUAACUACAGAACAUUCAUAAUAGACAAACUUCAAUGUAAUGACCAGAAAACUCAGGAAAUAUUUUAAAAUACUGAAAAAGAUAGUCUUCAUUCAUGUGUUACUUUGGUAUUUAGGUUUUGUGUGUUACAAUGAAGGAACAAAGCAGUGAAUCCAACAAUUACAUUUUGGACCUUUAAUCUGCAUUAGAUGGAAGGAAAAGCAAGCAGAAAAGCAUGGAAAAGACCUGGAGAGUAAAUUUUUUCUUCUGAAUUGAACUAUGUCAAAAACCAUGUAUGUUCUCCAGAAAGAGGUAACAGAAAGUAAUGGAAGUUCUGCACAUGGGGCCUGACUGGAAUUUGUCAAAACCAAAACCCUGAAGAACAGAAAUCUUGUUAUUGAUACCGUUUUUCUGCAUCCAUUAAUGCUGAUUUUUCCAAAAAGUAGAAAUAUAACACUCGGCAAGGGACCAGCUUCCUCAAAACUUCAAAGACUUGUUCAAUGGAAACUCUUCAAGGUAAUACUGAAGGUUACACUGAAAUAAGUCAAGCUGUCAGCUUUUAAUGUGCUUAUUGCAUGCUAUGCUGUGUUAGCAUUAGAACCCUAAAAAGUCACUAUAACCUUUGUAUGGCAGACUGCGCAUAUUAAAUUUAAGAUUGAAAACAUACAACCUGACUUGGAAUAACAAAACUAAACCAACUGUUUUCUGCAGUGAAUGUACAGAUUUACACUAUUCUAGCUCUCUCAAACCUCUAUCAGCUAGAACUUAGUGACUUCAACAUUAAAUACAAGCACUUUAUGAAAAUAUAUUUCAUUUCAUGAUUUUGAAUGCUACCUUUGACAAGGAUGCCUAGUUUCUAUGCUGUGCUGAUUUUUUCAGAACUUUCAACCUAAAUUUUCAUACUGCAUGUAAUUUCAUGUAUCGCACUGUCCUACUCAUCUACUACUUAAGGAAAGAGAUCCUUCACACUCCUUACACACUUUCUAGAACCUUUUGCCCGCUUCAAUUUCUCCCUUUCUAGUACUGCUAAAUUCAUUAAACUCAGCUAGAAGGUGUUGAUCUCUGCCCUCUAGUGACCAACACUUGGGCACAAGGAAAUGGAACAAAGUUGAUGCAGGGAAAUUUCAGAUUAGACCUUAGGAAAAAGUUCUUCACUGAGGAGAUGGCUAUUGUUGGGAUUUAUAAAAUUAGAGAGUUUUGAGAAAGAGGUUAAAAAAGCAGGCCUCAGACAGCAGACUUGUGAACACUAAUACAGGGAAAAGUUUUCUAAGCAGUAGAGCACAAGUGAGAAAUAGAACAAUAAGCUCUUGUGAUUUGUCUUUAUAGGUUGAAACAAGGUUAUUUAAUGUAUAUCUUUAGAAGGUUAGUAUGAAUGAGUUUCUGUGCUUUGUCUCUCAUCAACGAGCUAUUGUGUUAGAAAACAAGUCCCUAUUGUGUUAACUACCCUUACGUGUGUUUCAUAUGAUUGGAUAGAAUUAUUGUCAAUAUGUUUUGCUCUAUGUGUGAUUAGCUGAAACCUAAGGUGAGAUGGCUUUAUGCUACCGUGUAACGUGAUGUUUCUUUAGCAUUCCAUUUGAAUCAUAGAGCUGCGAACGUACUGUCUCCAUUGUCCUAACAAUGUACUGAGACUGAUGUGUGAAAUAAACAGCUCACGACACUGAUUCAGAUUGUCCCAUCUCCGUUCGUGCUUGUAAAUAGUUUGCUGACAGCAAAAUGGUGCCCCGUGUGAGGAAAGUAGACUAGAAUAAAAAAGAAAAUCGUGGAAAAUCUCAGCCGCCGGAGACCCAGGUAUUAAUCAAGAAGACUAUACCAUCCCCCUCGUAGCCUGCAGCUGAUGUGUUUGUAAGUAAUCCUUUUCUAGAGAGCACCUAAGUGACGAAAAUAAGAAAUCAUCUAUCUAAAACAGAAUGAAACGUCUUUUACCAGCUUGAGACAAUGUUACAGGAAAAAGGGCAUUCAGACAUCUCAAAAACUGAGCUUAAAAAUUUACUCAUCUGAGUGAAAGCAAAUACUCAAAAUAUAAAUUUACAGUCUGCUUUUACCUUUGAUUUUUAAGAUCAGAUAAACUACAAAAUCUCUAACUUGUUCUCCCUCAAAAAAGAUGAAAGUCUAAAUGUACUUAUACCUGCCUCCAGAGCUUUGAUGGAGUGUUUUACACAAACUGAUACUAACCAAGACAGUUCUAACUCACAAAACAAAGUAUCCUGCCCAGACUCUUUAAAUCCAAGUAAAAUAGAGUCUGCGUCCCUCUCAGAGAAUUUAUUGGGUGUAUCUCCAGACUCUGUAGACAGUGUUGCAUCCUCUAUGUCUUCCAAGCCUUCCAGCAUCCCUGCAGUUGAAAACAGCCUUCCGUCCCUCCGAGUAAAAAUAAACUCUUGCAGUGUCAAGGAGCCUGUUCAGACUUUUCAUUAUGUUCCAAGAAUGUGAAAAUUUUUGAAAUUUGUUUGGAAGAGAGUGUAAGAUGCAUAGAAAAGAGAGAUUAAAAGAAGUUUUGUGAUAAAGAAACUGUGUGUUCUAAAAUUGUACAAGCAAAGACAGUAAAAACUGACUUAGAGUCUACUUUCAUGAAAAAGAUAGAGCAAAUGCAAGUUGUAUGUUAGUAUUGGUGGAUUUUAAUUGUUUUUUGUCAUGCAGAUUUGCCUGUGGAACAACCAAAAACAAAUGUGUGAGUGACCUUAGCCAAGGCAGCCGGCUCAGAUACUAUAUGUUUGUCUAACUCAGAACCAGAAAAGCCUUUUUCAACCUGUCUUGUUGGUGUGCCAGUAAAAGAACUGCCUUCUGUCAAAAACAAUCCAAUGGUAAGCCAAGUAGAAUUGACAAUGAAAACAAUACCUCAUUGAAUUGGAAUGUUUGGUCCAAAAAAUUUCCCAAGGCAGCAUCUGAACCUCAACAAUUAGAAAUCUUUAGCUCUCUAACCAUAGAUUUUUGCUUUACUUCCAUAGCUAGUGCCUAGCAAAAAGGUGAUCCCCCAAAGUACAAUGUUACUACCCAUUAUUUCGCAUAUAGAAAUUUGAGUUUUUAGUGUAAUUUUUCAAACAGUUGAGAUGUGCUUUCUGAGGUUGAUCAAUAUCUACGGCAAUUGCCAAAAAAGGACUGGUUCAUUUGUAGAGAUAGAUCUUAGCAAGGCAUUCCAGCACACCUUGAAGGUGGCCCUUGAAGCAUUAGAAUGCUCACUAUAAUUGCACCCACUGCCAAAGCAGUUAUGAAAAAGAAACAAAAGAGAAGGAAAGCUGUUCCUCAUUAUGAAGAGAACUGUCAGAGUGAUUUUAGCCUUAGAAAGCUGCCAGAAGAGUUUCAGCAGGUUUGUUUUUACCCCAAUUAGCUUCUGCAGUGGCAUUGAAACAAUUAGAUCGAGUUAGAUGCUGGCUGAACAAGCAAGCUAAUGCCACAUCCUCUGCAAUUAAUGAUAUGUUAACCGAGUUUGAUAGUGUUAGACAUGCUACUCUUCAAAACAGAGUAACAACUGAUUUUCUUUUACUGGCACAAAGGCAUAGUUGUGAAGAAUUUGAAGGACUGUGUUGUAUGAAUUUGUCUGACCAUUCUGAAUCCAUUCACAAAAGCAUACAAAAACUGAAAGAUUUGACAGCUCAAAUUAAACAAGAUGACAGUUCCUAGCUAGAUGAUUUGUUUCAAGAAUGGAGCUUUGCACCUUAGCUAAAGCAACUUUGCAAGAUAAGUCUUUAUGUAUUAAGUGUUCUAGUAUUGAUAUUGAUAGUAAUACCCUGCAUACUUCAGUGUGUGCGGCGAAGUCAGACAGAGAGGGGGAAUUGUCAACAGAGAGGGGGAAUUGUUUGGAUUUAUAAAAUUAAAGAGUUUUGAGAAAGUGGUUAAAAAAGCAGGCCUCAGACAGCAGACUGGUAAACACUGCUAAUACAGGGAAAAGUUUUCUAAGCAGUAGAGCACACGUGAGAAGUAGAACAAUAAGCUCCUGGGAUCUGUCCUUAUAGGUUGCAACAAGGUUAUUUAAUGUAUAUCUUUAGAAGGUUAGUAUGAAUGAGUUUCUGUGCUUUGUCUCUCAUCAACGAGCUAUUGUGUUAGAAAACAAGUCCCUAUUGUGUUAACUACCCUUACGUGUGUUUCAUGAUUGGAUAGAAUUAUUAUCAAUAUGUUUUGCUCUAUGUGUGAUUAGCUGAAACCUAAGGUGAGAUGGCUUUAUGCUACCGUGUAACGUGAUGUUUCUUUAGCAUUCCAUUUGAAUCACAGAGCUGUGAACGUACUGUCUCCAUUGUCCUAACAAUGUACUGAGACUGAUGUGUGAAAUAAACAGCUCA